UACAUGUGGGGCAAGCGUUGUUCGGAAUUACUGGGCAUAAAGGGUGCGUAGGCGGCAUGCCAAGUCAGGGGUGAAAGGUUUCGGCCCAACCGGGACAGUGCCUUUGAUACUGGCGUGCUUGAGUGCGUGAGGGGUGACUGGAACGAGUGGUGUAGCGGUGAAAUGCGUAGAUAUCACUCGGAAGGCCAACGGCGAAGGCAGGUCACUGGUACGCAACUGACGCUGAGGCACGAAAGCCAGGGGAGCGAACGGG
rnacentral:rRNA from 1 species